rnacentral:rRNA from 1 species
AGUGAACGCUGGCGGUAGGCCUAACACAUGCAAGUCGAACGGCAGCACAGUAAGAGCUUGCUCUUAUGGGUGGCGAGUGGCGGACGGGUGAGGAAUACAUCGGAAUCUACUUUUUCGUGGGGGAUAACGUAGGGAAACUUACGCUAAUACCGCAUACGACCUACGGGUGAAAGCAGGGGAUCUUCGGACCUUGCGCGAUUGAAUGAGCCGAUGUCGGAUUAGCUAGUUGGCGGGGUAAAGGCCCACCAAGGCGACGAUCCGUAGCUGGUCUGAGAGGAUGAUCAGCCACACUGGAACUGAGACACGGUCCAGACUCCUACGGGAGGCAGCAGUGGGGAAUAUUGGACAAUGGGCGCAAGCCUGAUCCAGCCAUACCGCGUGGGUGAAGAAGGCCUUCGGGUUGUAAAGCCCUUUUGUUGGGAAAGAAAUCCAGCCGGUUAAUACCUG